GUAUAUUGGACCAUGGGGGGAACCCUGAUCCAGCCAUGCCGCGUGUCUGACGAAGGCCUUUUGGUUGUAACGCACUUUACGCGCGGAGGCGGCUACUCUAGUUACUACCUAGGGAUAGUGGACGUUACCCGCCGAAUACGCACCGGCUACCUCCGUGCCAGCACCCGCGGUAAUACCGAGGGUGCAAGCGUGAAUCGGAUUUACUGGGCGUAAAGCGCGCGUAGGUGGCCAAUUAAGUCAAAUGUGAAAUCCCCGAGCUUAACGUGGGAAUUGCAGUAGAUACUGGUUGGCGAGAGUAUGGGAGAGGAUGGUAGAAUUCCGGGUGUAGCGGUGAAAUGCGUAGAGAUCUGGAGGAAUACCGAUGGCGAAGGCAGCCAUCUGGCCUAAUACUGACACUGAGGUGCGAAAGCAGGGGGAGCAAACA
rnacentral:rRNA from 1 species